CAGAGAUUUAAGCAGUCUGUUUCCACAGUUAGGAACAUAUUGAGAAAAUGGAAGACCACCACAGGCUCAGUUCAAGUUAAGGCUCGAAGUGGCAGACCAAGAAAAAUCUCGGAUAGACAGAAGUGGCGAAUGGUGAGAACAGUCAGAGUCAACCCACAGACCAGCACCAAAGACCUACAACAUCAUCUUGCAGCAGAUGGAGUCACUGUGCAUCGUUCAACCAUUCUGCAUAUGUGGCAGGAUGAAUGUUAUUCCUUGGUUUAACCCACUUUCAGCCAGGCGCAUUAGGGGGCGCUAGUAUAAAUAGUGGCCAUUUGAGCGUCCCUGGAUCGCUUACCUGUGAUCUCCCCUUUGGUCAUCUGACUUCCCUUUGGUGUUGCCGAGAUCAUUUGCGGGUUACACUUCUGAAGCCUCCAUCGCGGCUGGUCGUAGCUGUAGAAGCCUCCGUUGAGCCAUUCUGCUCAUGUUUUAUGACGCGGCUUACUCGGAAGUGUGGGCCUUAGUUUUACGCCACGCUACGCGAACUGAAGUGCUGCUGUUUUGUUUUGCUUUGUUUUGCUUUACUUUUACUGUCUGUUCCGGCUGCGAGGUUUCUUUCCUACUACUGCCAGCCUUUAAAGUGGACGUCGGCGUGGACAACAGCUAUAUGCAUGCCACGCGAGUCGGCUGGCGUGCAUGUUGAUUGACUGACUGGAAGAUUAACUUAUAGUCGGGCAGACGGCCAGUUGGAGUACUACGGCGAUUCCGUCUGCUCCAUAUUUUAAAGAUUUAUUUAGGCUGUAUGUUCUUCUUUUUUUUUUUUUUUUUUUUUUUUUUUUUUUUUUUUUUUUUUGUUGUUGUUGUUGAUUUGUAGUUUGGGUUUUUGUUACACCACUGGUGGGAGGCCCUUUUUCUAGCUGCGGACCACCAGUGUGUUCCUGCAGUUGGGCUAUCCCCAGCGUGUGAAUAUAUUAUAUACAAACGAAUUGUAUAAUUUUCUUUGUUUCUUUUAUUCAGAUGCGGAGUGCCGACGUGGAGGAGACUAGGGUGCCUUGGUGGUGGGAUCCUCUGAGUGUACACACCUGCCUUUUCUUAGUUUAUUAGCGUGAGUGUGUGAUAGUGCUGCACUUGUGUCUUGGUGUUUUCUCCUCUUUUUUUGAGUUUGUGCGUGGCAUCCCUGCCCCUCCACUGGUAAGCCUCGGCUCUGGAUACCUUUUUUUAAGCAUAUUUAUACACUGAUAUUUAUGACUGUGCUUUUAUACGUUGUUUUAAUUAAUAAAUUGUUAACUUAUUUUAUCAUUGAA